rnacentral:lncRNA from 1 species
CUGACCCUGAGCCACCAGAACACACUGGCUGAAAGGACCCGACAACCUCUAUGGCAAGUGAGAGCCUUGGUCCUUCCCCAGAGCGACUGCAGCCAGUUAGGACGCGAGCACUCAUUUCUUUUCAGGAUGGUUGGUUCCUACUGUGGCGUCCAAAUUGAUGCGGAUACCCAGGGACCCAUAGCACCACCAUGGCCCCCGUGUUAGAGUAGGGAUCUAUGGGGGUCAUGUCAUCCACAGAGCCCUGCCCAAGACACAGCGGGGUCAGAACAGCAGUCUGGGCUGCAGCGACACAUCCGAGGAUCACUGGCAUGUUACUGUAUUUAAAGCCAUGAGAUUGGAUUGGAGCAGCAGCAGGUAGAUAGAGAAGAGACCCAGCUGGUCUCAGACCCUGCGGAGCUGCCAUCAUCUGCAUCUGUGCCCUGACUCUUCAGCCUCUCUCCCUGGCCUUCUGGAGACAGACCUCUGACCGGUGGGCUCCAUGUGAUUCUGGGCUCCAGGACCUCUCCCAUGAAGAUGACCAGCACUUGCUGAGUGCGGUGUGCCAAGUCUUGUGCAACACGUCUCACACAGCGUAACGGGCAGUGUGGCAAAGUGGGUAAGGUAAGGGUUCAAAUCCUGGUUCUGCCACUUUUUACUUGCACGGGCUCGGGCAAGCUGACCACCCUGUGGCUCAGCCUCCACAUCAUUCACCUCGAGCUGAUGGUACCCGCUGCACGGGCUGCUGUACUGCUUGUGAGUUCAUCCACAUGAAGAGCUCAGAACAGUGCCUGGCGUGGCAAGACUAUACAAGGACUAACUCUGAUGGUGGGAGCCAGGAGGUUUCCUUGUGGUCCUUGCCUGGCAGCAUCUUCCUCACCUGGGAAUGGACUAAUGCUUAGCCCACUCCAGGCUACUGACUCUGAAACUCUGUGUGUGGGGCCCAGGGAUCUGCAUUUUAACAAGCUCUCCAUUGAGGCCAAUGGACGUGAAAGCUUAGUCUUUCUAACACCUCUAUAAGAAGGUCUAUUUUGUUCUCAUUAUUACUAUUAUAUGGAUAAGGAGGUGGGCUCAGAGGGGUUGUCAUGCCUAAGCUUAUGCUGGUACUAAGUGCCAGGAUGCAAAGUGGGUCAGUCCACUCCACACCACUGUGCCUGGCCCAGCCCUUCCCGCCAGCUCGACGCACUUCCCUUUCCCACUGGCUUCAUUUCCUACCUGGCCAAGCCUGUCGGGGGCAAGCAUGCCUCUCGGUCCACAAACUUAGGGAGGCAGGGAAUAAGCACAGGGUGAUGAAAACUCAAUCCCCAUCCAUUCAAGGGGUUAGAGACCUGAUCCCCUUCCCUAGAUUGCACCAGAACUGUUGAGGACUUACACAGUGCUAAGGCACCAGGGUGGGGGGCCCACCUGGUCCUCAUGCCACCCAUCAGUGCUGGCAUCCACUAGCCUUCCAAGAGAGCCCUAGAUCUUCAUCCCUACAGGCAGAGGCUGGGACAGUGGACCACUUUGGAUAGUUAACCAGCUUGUUCACUGCACAAACAUAUCCGGAUGGGGUGAUCAGUGGGACUGAAAUCCCACCUGUGCUGUCCUUGCUGAGCUAUGGAAGUGGGUGCAGGACAGCCUCCACCCUGAGGCAGGGCAUCUCUUCCUUAGCACCAAGGAACCAUCCACGGACCAGGUCAUGCACCCAGUGGGCUCAUCCAUCUUCCCACAAAGGGUGCCUUUUCCCAAUUUGCACAAAGGAACCUUAGAGACGGAUGUGGCCCUGCUGGUGUGGCCCCAUGCUGGUGGAGUGGCUCCCACAGGUCUGCGGUCCUCUGCCACUUCCAGGUGGUGCUCAGGCCCCUGGCCUCACUCAGGCUGGGGGAGAUGGGGUGCAGGGCGAGGGCAUGGAGGAAGGCUAUCCUGGGCCAUGCUGUGGCCCUUCCGCUCAGGCCCACAACUUCCCCAAGGCUACCUCUGGGAAGUAGGGCACAAGGGGCCCGUGGGAUCGUUGCUUGGAUCCCACAACAUAACUGGGGUUUUGCUGUCUCCUGGGGCUCUGCCCAGGAAGGGGUGCAAAUCUCCCUUCACUAUGACCCAGGGCUGUGCUUCCAUUCCACUCCAUCACCCCUCCUUCAAUAUUUUCUUGCCUCUGCGGAAACCCAACGCUACUCAGCCUUCCUUCAGGAUUUUCUCCCCAACUUUUUUCCAGCUAGAAGUCUUCCCCGAGUUCCUAAAAUCUUGGAUUUUGGAGACCAGUCAGGCCUUUUCUUUUCGUCUAGGGCAUAGGCUUCCCUUCAGGCAGUGAGCAGAAGGAAUGAGCUGGGGUAGGGGGAGAGGGAAGAGCAGAUCUAUUAAUCGCCCCACCCCACAAUAACUGCACAUGCCUGGGAGCCCCGUGGAGCGCAGGCCACACCGUGCCAGGUCCUCCGAGUCGGGAAAGACUCGCUAUUCCCGCUUCCCCAGCCCGGAGCAGGGGCUAAUGGAAAAGGCUGCAGCCCCCGGCGCGCGCAGCCUCCUGCUUCUUGGACUUUGGUGAAAUUGUGGCUGCGGGCCCGCGCUGCUUCCGAUCCACGGCGCCGCUCAAGCGAAGGCUCAGGGGGUCCCCCGCCCGAGGCGGCCCCAGAGCCGCCCCUCUGGUCUCCAUCCCGGAGCAGCGCCCUUCCACCCUCCUUGGGCGGCGCUGCCCCAGCGGCCGGGUGUUUUCACCGCCGACCGCGAGCUUCCUACCGUUCAUCCAUCCGCCGCAGGAAGGGGGCGCACGCGUCACUCGCUUCUCUCCAAUCCGGCUACAUCCCGGAGUUCGGUUUUCACUGGAAACGACACCACCGGGGGUUGAUGGUCCCUAAGGUGUUCAGCCUGCGAAAGAGGGCUGUGGUUAAAAAGAUAAAAAUACACUAGUGCCUUACCGGGUCCUGAGCAAUUUGUUUUGUAUUAGGUCAAUUCUAGAAAAAAAAAUUUACAGGUCAUUUUUUUUCAUUCAAAGUAAAAACUGUUUUACUGAAUCCCAUGAUCUAUCUAUCCAGAUAUCACCUGUGUAAUCUAAGCUGGAAGACUAUAUAUAUAUAUUCUAUUGAAUAGAAAAAUGUCAAUAAGAAGUGAAGAUUGCAGGACUUUUAUUUUUGCCAUUAAGCUAUUAAUAGAAAUGCAUAGUUGUUAAUAUGUUAGCAAUGUGGCUUUCAAAUUUUUAUUGCAAAAAAUAAUAAAGUAUACACUGCUCCUUAUCAUAAAUUCCAAAUAGCAA